GGGGAAUAUUGCACAAUGGGCGAAAGCCUGAUGCAGCGACGCCGCGUGAGGGAUGGAGGCCUUCGGGUUGUAAACCUCUUUCGCUCAUGGUCAAGCCGCAACUGUGGGUUGUGGUGAGGGUAGUGGGUAAAGAAGCGCCGGCUGACUACGUGCCAGCAGCCGCGGUAAUACGUAGGGCGCGAGCGUUGUCCGGAAUUAUUGGGCGUAAAGGGCUUGUAGGCGGUUGGUCGCGUCUGCCGUGAAAUUCUCUGGCUUAACUGGGGGCGUGCGGUGGGUACGGGCUGACUUGAAUGCGGUAGGGGAGACUGGAACUCCUGGUGUAGCGGUGGAAUGCGCAGAUAUCAGGAAGAACACCGGUGGCGAAGGCGGGUCUCUGGGCCGUUACUGACGCUGAGGAGCGAAAGCGUGGGGAGCGAACAGGAUUAGAUACCCUGGUAGUCCACGCUGUAAACGUUGGGCACUAGGUGUGGGGGCCACCCGUGGUUUCUGCGCCGUAGCUAACGCUUUAAGUGCCCCGCCUGGGGAGUACGGCCGCAAGGCUA
rnacentral:rRNA from 1 species